AGUGAACGCUGGCGGUAGGCCUAACACAUGCAAGUCGAACGGCAGCACAGUAAGAGCUUGCUCUUACGGGUGGCGAGUGGCGGACGGGUGAGGAAUACAUCGGAAUCUACUUUUUCGUGGGGGAUAACGUAGGGAAACUUACGCUAAUACCGCAUACGACCUACGGGUGAAAGCAGGGGAUCUUCGGACCUUGCGCGAUUGAAUGAGCCGAUGUCGGAUUAGCUAGUUGGCGGGGUAAAGGCCCACCGAGGCGACGAUCCGUAGCUGGUCUGAGAGGAUGAUCAGCCACACUAGAUCUGAGACACGGUCCCGACUCCUUCGGGAUGCAGCAGUGGGGAAUCUUGGACCAUGGGCGCAAGCCUGAUCCAGCCAUACCGCGUGAGUGAAGAAGGCCUUCGGGUUGUAAAGCCCCUUUGUUGGGAACGAAAACCAGCCGGUUAAUACCCCGCUGUUCUGACGGUACCCUAAGAAUAAGCACCGGCUAACUUCGUG
rnacentral:rRNA from 1 species